rnacentral:misc_RNA from 1 species
AUUAUUAUUAUUAUUAUUAUUUUAGUGAUAACAUUUCUCACAGUCAUUAGCAUCUACUUGUUUGAAGGAUACAAUAGUUAUGACGUAAUCUCAUAAGAAAGAGGAAGGGGGGUUGUUUGUAUUGUUCUUUCAAAAUGUGGCUCCCUCUGAUUCAAUGAUCUAUUAAUGUCCACUUAAUGAAAGAACACAAGAACGACUGUUCAUUUGUACUUGAAGGACCAUAUAAAAGAAAAGAACAUGACAAAAUUACAUUCAAAAAGCAGGGAAACAAAAAGCUUGCCAAUAGCUUCCAUAAG